rnacentral:miRNA from 1 species
UGUUGCCCUACCUUUUCUGGGUGAUGAUCUCAGAACUUGAUGAUGAUCUCAGAAGACAAGUAGGCAGACAGACAG